GCCCCUGUAGGCUAACGGAUAGACCAUGUGGCUUCGGACCACAAUGUGCGGGUUCGAUUCCUGCCAGGGGCA
rnacentral:tRNA from 1 species